AUGAAAACUGUAAGUGUGGUGUGUAACGGGGUGGAGACAGUAAGAGCUGGUCAGAAACACACAGCAGUUUUAGUGCAGGAGGUUUUUGUACGGCUGUUCUGCAGCUCUGUAUCACUGUGGUUAGUUUUCGGUGGAGGAACGAAACUCUUAGUUGGAAGUGUCUCUCGUCCCACUCUCUCGGUGCUGCCCCCCUCUGGUGAGUCUCUGCAGCAGGGUAAAGCUACGUUGGUGUGUUUGGCCAGUAAGGGUUUUCCCUCAGACUGGACUCUGAGCUGGAAGGUGGACGGCAGCAGCCCGAGCUCAGGUGUGUGUGUGGGCGGAGCCGGGCGGAGCUCAGGUGUGUGCGUGAGCGCCGGGGUCCGGCAGAAGGAGGGGCUGUACGGCUGGAGCAGCACUCUGACCCUCACUGAGGACCAGUGGAGGAAGACCAAGGAGGUGAGCUGUGAGGCCGUCCUCCCCUCACAGCCUCCAGUGAGGAAGAGUCUGAACACACAGCUGUGUGAAGAGAACUGAGACCAGGAGCUUCACACACACACACACACACACCUGCUGAUCUGAGCUUCACACACACCU